CUCAGACUUUCCUUGUUUUUGAUGAUCUGGAAAGUUUGGAGGACGAUUGCUCAGGUGUUUUGGAGAAUGUCACUCAAUUGGGAUGUGUCUGAUGCUUUUCUCAUGUUUAGGUUAUAAACAUGAGGUUACAAGUUUUUGGAAGAGAGACAGAGGCAAAGUACCAUUUUCAUCACAUCCUAGCAAGGGAACAUUCUAUCAGCAUGACACCACAGUUGGUGUUGAACUUGGUCCCCUGACCAAGCUAUCCUGGAACACCGUCACUAAAUAGCUGCACUGAAAGUCAACUCCUUUUUAUUUGAACAGUUCUCCAUUUGGGGCAUUUAGCUUCUGGCCAUCUCUUCACUGUUAAUAAACAGAACUUGGAAGAGCAUACAAUUAAAUCUUUG
rnacentral:lncRNA from 1 species